rnacentral:rRNA from 1 species
AGUGAACGCUGGCGGUAGGCCUAACACAUGCAAGUUGAACGGCAGCGCAGAGGAGCUUGCUACUUGGGUGGCGAGUGGCGGACGGGUGAGGAAUACAUCGGAAUCUACUCUGGCGAGGGGGAACACGUGGGGAAACUUACGCUAAUAACGCAUACGACCUGCUGGUCAAAGCAGGGGAUCUUCGUACAUUGCGCGAUUCGAUGAGCCGAUGUCGGAUUAGCUAGUUGGCGGGGUAAAGGCCCACAAAUGCGCCGAUCCGUAGCUGGUCUGAGAGGAUGAUCAGCCACACUGGAACUCAGACACGGUACAGACUCCUACGGGAGGCAGCAGUGGGGAAUAUUGGACAAUGGGCUCAAGCCUGAUCCAGCCAUACCGAGUGGGUGAAGAAGGCCUUCGGGUUGUAAAGCCCUUUUGUUGGGAAAGAAAUCCAUCUGGUUAAUACCCGGGUGGGAUGACGGUACCCAAAGAAUAAGCACCGGCUAACUUCGUGCCAGCCGCCGCCGUAA